rnacentral:rRNA from 1 species
GUGCCAGCAGCCGCGGUAAGACAGAGGGUGCAAGCGUUGUUCGGAAUUAUUGGGCGUAAAGGGCGCGUAGGCGGCCUUGUAAGUCAGAUGUGAAAUCCCUGGGCUCAACCCAGGACGUGCAUCUGAUACUGCAAGGCUUGAGUCUCGGAGAGGAUGGUGGAAUUCCCAGUGUAGAGGUGAAAUUCGUAGAUAUUGGGAGGAACACCGGUGGCGAAGGCGACCAUCUGGACGAAGACUGACGCUGAGGCGCGAAAGCGUGGGGAGCAAACAGGAUUAGAUACCCUGGUAGUCC